ACGUAGGUGGCAAGCGUUGUCCGGAAUUACUGGGUGUAAAGGGAGCGUAGGCGGGCAGGCAAGUCAGGCGUGAAAUAUAUCGGCUCAACCGGUAACGGCGCUUGAAACUGCAGGUCUUGAGUGAAGUAGAGGUUGGCGGAAUUCCUAGUGUAGCGGUGAAAUGCGUAGAUAUUAGGAGGAACACCAGUGGCGAAGGCGGCCAACUGGGCUUUUACUGACGCUGAGGCUCGAAAGUGUGGGGAGCAAACAG
rnacentral:rRNA from 1 species